AUACGGGGGGGGCAAGCGUUGUUCGGAAUUACUGGGCGUAAAGGGCGCGUAGGCGGCUUGUUAAGUCGGAUGUGAAAUCCCCGGGCUCAACCUGGGAACUGCAUUCGAUACUGGCAGGCUAGAGUAUAGUAGAGGCAAGUGGAAUUCCGGGUGUAGCGGUGAAAUGCGUAGAUAUCCGGAGGAACAUCAGUGGCGAAGGCGGCAUUCUGGGUUAAAACUGACGCUGAGGUGCGAAAGCGUGGGGAGCAAACAGAAUUAGAAACCCCAGUAGUCC
rnacentral:rRNA from 1 species